GAUGAACGCUGGCGGCGUGCCUAACACAUGCAAGUCGAACGGAGUCGUUUUGGAAAUCUCUUAGGAGUUGGAAUUCUCGACUUAGUGGCGGACGGGUGAGUAACGCGUGAGCAAUCUGCCUUGAAUAGGGGGAUAACAGUCGGAAACGUCUGCUAAUACCGCAUAAAUCAUUAAAUUCGCAUGUUUUUGAUGCCAAAGCAGCAAUCCGCUUUUAGAUGAGCUCGCGUCUGAUUAGCUAGUUGGCGGGGUAACGGCCCACCAAGGCGACGAUCAGUAGCCGGACUGAGAGGUAGAACGGCCACAUUGGGACUGAGACACGGCCCAGACUCGUACGGGAGGCAGCAGUGGGGAAUAUUGCGCAAUGGGGGAAACGCUGACGCAGCAACGCCGCGUGAUUGAAGAAGGCCUUCGGGUUGUAAAGAUCUUUAAUCAGGGACGAAACAAAUGACGGUACCUGAAGAAUAAGCUCCGGCUAACUACGUG
rnacentral:rRNA from 1 species